rnacentral:rRNA from 1 species
UACGAAGGGGGCUAGCGUUGUUCGGAUUUACUGGGCGUAAAGCGCACGUAGGCGGAUUGGUCAGUUAGGGGUGAAAUCCUGGAGCUCAACUCCAGAACUGCCUUUAAUACUGCCAAUCUCGAGUCCGGAAGAGGUAAGUGGAACUCCUAGUGUAGAGGUGGAAUUCGUAGAUAUUAGGAAGAACACCAGUGGCGAAGGCGGCUUACUGGUCCGGUACUGACGCUGAGGUGCGAAAGCGUGGGGAGCAAACAGGAUUGAGAUACC